rnacentral:piRNA from 1 species
UGCAAAUAUGGUGUGCAAGCUGGAGUGACA